UACGUAGGGUGCAAGCGUUAAUCGGAAUUACUGGGCGUAAAGCGUGCGCAGGCGGUUGUGCAAGACCGAUGUGAAAUCCCCGGGCUUAACCUGGGAAUGGCAUUGGUGACUGCACGGCUAGAGUGUGUCAGAGGGGGGUAGAAUUCCACGUGUAGCAGUGAAAUGCGUAGAUAUUGGGAGGAACACCAGUGGCGAAGGCGGCUCACUGGACCGGUUCUGACGCUGAGGCGCGAAAGCGUGGGGAGCAAACGGG
rnacentral:rRNA from 1 species